UGGGGAAUUUUGGGCAAUGGGCGAAAGCCUGACCCAGCAACGCCGCGUGAAGGAUGAAGUAUUUCGGUAUGUAAACUUCGAAAGAAUAGGAAGAAUAAAUGACGGUACUAUUUAUAAGGUCCGGCUAACUACGUGCCAGCAGCCGCGGUAAUACGUAGGGACCAAGCGUUGUUCGGAUUUACUGGGCGUAAAGGGCGCGUAGGCGGCAUGACAAGUCACUUGUGAAAUCUCUGGGCUUAACCCAGAACGGCCAAGUGAUACUGUCGCGCUAGAGUGCAGAAGGGGCAAUCGGAAUUCUUGGUGUAGCGGUGAAAUGCGUAGAUAUUGGGAAGAACACCAGUGGCGAAGGCGGCUAACUGGUCCGGUACUGACGCUGAGGUGCGAAAGCGUGGGGAGCAAACAGGAUUAGAUACCCAAGUAGUCCCUGAGCGGGCUGGCAAGGCGCAU
rnacentral:rRNA from 1 species